rnacentral:rRNA from 1 species
UACGAAGGGGGCUAGCGUUGCUCGGAAUCACUGGGCGUAAAGCGCACGUAGGCGGCUUUUUAAGUCAGGGGUGAAAUCCUGGAGCUCAACUCCAGAACUGCCUUUGAUACUGAGAAGCUUGAGUUCGGGAGAGGUGAGUGGAACUGCGAGUGUAGAGGUGAAAUUCGUAGAUAUUCGCAAGAACACCAGUGGCGAAGGCGGCUCACUGGCCCGAUACUGAUGCUGAGGUGCGAAAGCGUGGGGAGCAAACAGG